rnacentral:rRNA from 1 species
GGACGGGUGAGUAAUGCCUAGGAAUCUGCCUGGUAGUGGGGGACAACGUUUCGAAAGGAACGCUAAUACCGCAUACGUCCUACGGGAGAAAGCAGGGGACCUUCGGGCCUUGCGCUAUCAGAUGAGCCUAGGUCGGAUUAGCUAGUUGGUGAGGUAAUGGCUCACCAAGGCGACGAUCCGUAACUGGUCUGAGAGGAUGAUCAGUCACACUGGAACUGAGACACGGUCCAGACUCCUACGGGAGGCAGCAGUGGGGAAUAUUGGACAAUGGGCGAAAGCCUGAUCCAGCCAUGCCGCGUGUGUGAAGAAGGUCUUCGGAUUGUAAAGCACUUUAAGUUGGGAGGAAGGGCAUGCACCUAAUACGUGUGUGUCUUGACGUUACCGACAGAAUAAGCACCGGCUAACUCUGUGCCAGCAGCCGCGGUAAUACAGAGGGUGCAAGCGUUAAUCGGAAUUACUGGGCGUAAAGCGCGCGUAGGUGGUUCGUUAAGUUGAAUGUGAAAUCCCCGGGCUCAACCUGGGAACUUGCAUCCAAAACUGGCGAGCUAGAGUAUGGUAGAGGGUGGUGGAAAUUUCCUGUGUAGCGGUGAAAUGCGUAGAUUUAGGGAAGGAACACCAGUG